rnacentral:rRNA from 1 species
UACGUAGGGUCCAAGCGUUAUCCGGAAUUACUGGGCGUAAAGAGUUGCGUAGGUGGCAAAGUAAGCGAUGUAUUAAAGCUCACGGCUCAACCGUGAAUCUAUGCAUCGAACUACUUAGCUAGAGUAUGGGAGAGGUAGCUGGAAUUUCUAGUGUAGGAGUGAAAUCCGUAGAUAUUAGAAGGAACACCGAUGGCGUAGGCAGGCUACUGGCCCAUUACUGACACUAAGGCACGAAAGCGUGGGGAGCGAACGGG